AGAAAGAUGAGUAAGUUACAUGGUUACCGAACAAAGGGUGCAAACCACUGCUCAUUAUGCAUCACGUUCAUUUGAGUAAUGUGAACUGAGAAAACAAAUCCUGUCAUUAGAAAACCGCUUGUAGAUUUUUUCAUACCGUUACAGACAAAGAACAGGUCCUGGUAAAUCAAGAUGAGUGGAAAUAAGCAGAAGAAACUUCAGACAAAGACGGUGGGGAAAAUUACACCAGGGGUGAACACUGGAGAGAUAAACUCGUUGUCAGGUAUGGCAUUUGCUCACUAUCAGUGUCUCCAGACUGCGAAUAAAUGACUGGAUUUUAGUCAGGACACGUACUAAGUUAAAGGACAAAGAAAAGAUUUUAUCAUCUUACAAGGGCCUGGGGAGGAUAACCCAUGCCAACUGAGCCAGCCUUCACAUCAUAG